AGGUGUUCUCUCCCUCCCGACUCCCACAGCAGCCCUUCAAGAAGGAGGGAUUCUUUCUGGGCAGAUGGCUGCCUCCCAGCCUGCAGGCCCCAGAGGCAGGGCUUAUGGCUUCCUUUCCCCGGCUUUUUCCUGGACUGUCUAGGGCCCCGCAUCCAGCAGAACCUAAGAACUGUGCAGGCCUCACCCGAUUCACCCCUGCCCUCCCUUUCCAUCUCUCACUGACAUAUUUUCAACCACAAAUAUUUAUUGAGUGCCCACUGCCCCGCCUGCUGUCCUUCCCCUUCCUGCUGGGUCCCUCCCCUCCACCAAGGCCUAAAGGGGUGAAGAUGUCUGCAGGCAGCAGGGGGAGAAAAAUGAGGCUAAGAGGAAGGACCCAAGAGAGCUCUGAAAUGAGGACAGGACGUCCCACCCUUUCUUAGUCCGUAACGCACCUUUGGACAUGAUGGAAUAUACGAAGGGGCCUCCACCCACAGCAUGACCAAUCCCCAGCAUCCAAAAUCGCACACAUACCAAUAUGUGCACACACACACUCACACCCACACCCAUAAAGAUUUUGCACUCCUUGAAGGUACACUAACUCACCAUUUUUAUCAUACUUAUCCCAGUGUGCCACAGUUACUGGCUUAUAUGCCUGUCUCUGCUAUCUUAUUUUAUCUGUCUCCACAACACAGCAAACUACCUGGCCUUCAAUAAAGGGCUUAUGAAUUAUUCAUGAAUCCAUUUUGCCAGGUGCCUAGCCCUGUGUCUGGCUUGAAGCAGGUGUUCCCAAGGUGUGGCAUGGCUGAGUGAAUACAAAUAAAAGGUAUACAAAAGCACUCAGCCCUGCCCUCCUCUCUUCUCCACGCUUACCACCUGCUCCGGUUUCCAGACCCAACAUUGGCAAAGAGCACCGAUGAAACCCAAAAGUUCAGGACACACCCAAGCACGUAAAGGUCAGGCACCUGGGCAGGUCAACAGUGCAGCAUUUUAGCCUGGGUCUUUUGGGGGAAGAGCUUCACAAGGAGCUGCUCUCUAGCCUGACCCAUUCUCCUUGUUCUGUAAGGCCCCUGCCCCCAGCCUUUGGGCUCACUUGCAGCCCUAACCUCCACGAUCCCCCUCUUUGCUUUCUCCAUAAUAAAUUCCCCUUCUAAACAAAGACUGACAGCACCACCUCCACAGCACCUGCACGGUCUCGCCUCCCCUCACCUAGCCUCACCCCUCCAUCAGACUCUCCUGCUGAGGUGGACGAGGUCUUAUACUUUGCUGGCAUCUUGCUCCAGAAAAGGGAUGCAGCUGAGCACACCCCUGCCCUUUUGCAAGCACUCCCUCCCACUUGCAGGAGGGAGAAGGGAAUGGGAGGGAAGGAGAAGAGAGGGCAGGGGAGGGCAAUGCUGCUCCAACAACCACACUCUGGGUGAGCCUGGGGUGCUAGGAUGGCUCCACUGGGCAGGGACGCCAGUCCAGUAAGCUGGAGGCUCCUCAUUUUGCCAGCAGUGAGCUCUACCUGGGACAGGGGUGUCAGUUCCCACCCUCAGGUCUGAGGCUCUGCCUGCCCAGUGAGCACCUCAGCACCCUGGACCACCCUUCCAGGCGCAGGCACCAGGGAAGGGGCAGAGGGACUAACCGAC
rnacentral:lncRNA from 10 species